rnacentral:rRNA from 1 species
CAAAGGAAUUGACGGGACCCGCACAAGCAGCGGAGCGUGUGGUUUAAUUCGUUGCUACACGAAGAACCUUACCUGGGUUUGACAUAUAGGUUGUAGGGAACUGAAAAGGGACCGACCCUUCGGGGAGCUUGCACAGGUGCUGCAUGGCUGUCGUCAGCUCGUGUCGUGAGAUGUUCGGUUAAGUCCGCUAACGAGCGCAACCCUCGCUGUGUGUUAUAUGUGUCACACGGGACUGCCGGUCUUAAGCCGGAGGAAGGUGGGGAUGAUGUCAAGUCAGCAUGGCCUUUAUAUCCUGGGCUACACACACGCUACAAUGGCCAGCACAGUAGGUUGCUAAGCCGCGAGGUGGAGCCAAUCCAUAAAGCUGGUCUCAGUUCAGAUUGCAGGCUGCAACCCGCCUGCAUGAAGAUGGAGUUGCUAGUAACCGCAGGUCAGCUAUACUGCGGUGAAUACGUUCCCGGGGCUU